GUUGCCCAGUCAGUAAUUUUCUUUGUUUUCUUUUGUGUACUGUUGUUUGCUCGUUGUUUUCGGUUAUUGCCGUGGCAUUUUUAGUUUGUUUUUGAAUUGUGAGUUUGAAUAUACCCCUUUGGUACCUUUCAUUUAUCUUAAAUGUUGAAACCGAAUGUUGGAUGUUGCAAAUUGAAUGUUGCAUGUUGCAAAUCGAAUGUUGAGAAUAGAAAAUUAUUGAAAUAUAUUUCCUAUGUUGUGUGUUGUGUGUGUUGUGUUCAGUUGUUUGUCAUGUCAUCGUUUUCGGUAAUUUCCAUGGCAUUGUUAGUUUGUUUUUGACUUGUGAGCUUGAACAUACCCCUUUGGUAUCUUUCGACUCACUUGAGUAUUGAAUACUGAAUGUUGAUUGUGCAAAUCGAAUGUUGAAUAUUGAAAAGUUCAAUAAUAUAAAUCGAACGUUGAAAAUCUG
rnacentral:lncRNA from 1 species